CUCUAGUACACCCAGGAUACAGUCCUGAAAAACUUCUGGUCGUGGUGUGAAUGAGGAUCUCUGAAUGGCUAGUUCGCAGGACGAGCGGUAAACCUGUUGAGCGGACAGGUGUCGUUUGAGGCUCCGGAGUAAAGAUGGCAGAAUGCAAGUUUCAGGAUGAAUGCUAACGAAUAGCUGCUUUCAGAAAGACUGUAUGACAGCAUAAGUGAACUUAAAGGAGGAGAAGUUAACAACACUCAAACAUUCAAGUGAUAAUGCAAACCUAACCUUAACCCCAGUGAAGAGGGCCGGUCAGGGUUUGUUCCCUCUCUUUGCGCAGGCAUUCUGGGUGAACGACCCUGCAUUAUUGACUACAGUACAAAAGCACACGUUGAUUCACCUCAAAUGAAGCGAGAGCCGGCGGGCGAUCAGAUGAAGGGAAAGUGAAUAUUGCGCCACAUGUAGGGGAACAGCCAAAACCUGUGUGUGUGAAGAGCAAACCCACGCUUGUUCAAACAUCAAUAUUAAUGUAUGGAAAGGAGAGAACAUGGAAAAGGAGGCAGCUCUGGGAAUACAGUCUCGGCUGCGCUUGUGCGUUUGGAAACGAACGUUUCACCCGAGCCGAAAUAUAGAUGAUAUAUGUUAGUCUUGUUUUCCCCGGGCGCUUGUGUGCAGGACGCAUCCAGAUCUGGUCUGAUCCAGGUUUGUUCUCCUCAGCGUUGUCCUCAGCUGAACUCGGGCAGCCUGUCAGACGGAGGAGGGGGUUUCAGGAGGAGCAGGAAACCGCGCGGCACGGAAGGAUGGAGGGAGGCACUACGCUUCACCCAGCGUGGGGUUGCUUAUCUGUGGCCGACUGAGCGCCAGCGCCUCCCUGCUGAGAAACCCUGGAGACAGAGGCCUUUCUGUGUCUGAACUGAUACAGAGGAAAUCAAUCAGGUAAACAACAGAAUGUGUGUGUAUAAAUAUUCAGUAAGGACACAUUAAAUUGAUCAGCAAAGACAUUUAUAAUGUUACAAAUGAUUCUAUUUCAAAUCAAUGCUGUUCUUUUGAACUUUUUGAUUCAUCAAAGAAUCCUGAAAAAUAAAAUGUAUGACAGUUUUCAACAUUGAUAAUAAUCAUAAAUGUUUCUUGAGCAUCAAAUCAUCCUAUCAGAACGAUUUCUGAAGGAUCAUGUGACACUGAAGACUGGAGUAAUGAUGCUGAAAAUUCAGCUUUGAUCACAGGAAUAAAUUACACUUUACUAUAUAUUCACAUAGAAAACAGCUGUUUUACAUUGGAAUAAUAUUUCACAAUUUUUACUGUAUUUUUGAUCAAAUAAAUGCUGAGCAGAAGAGACUUUAUUCAAAAACAUUACAAAAUCUGACCAACCCCAAAUGAGGAUUAUUAUCAUUGAAUAUAAUAUAAUAAUAUAUAUAUAUAUAUAUAUG